GGAAAAGUCCUAACAUAAAAAUACCGUUCUCAUUUACAAUGAGCCUAACACAGAGCUAAGAGCUCUCAUUUACACUGCAGAUGGCAAGAGAGUCUUUUGCGUUACUCAGUCCAUUACUAACUUAACCACUGGAGGCUCCAUGCUGGAGAUUCCUCCGAUGGUAAGUGGUAACCCUCUGUUCAUCUUGUUGGAGUUCAAAUAUCCUUGCACAGUUGCACCAUCGAAAGUUCCCCGCUUCCACCCAUCCCUGAUCACAAAUACUACAUGCCACCCUCCGAGAACAGGCUCUUUUUUCUAUCUCACUCCAUAUUUAUUUUUGAUUUUAUACAAAGUUUAUUAUUUUAUAUUAAUUUACUAACUUAAUCAUUGGAGGUUCAGUGACAGAAGGAACCCUCCAACCUAUCUUUGAUCUUCCUUCUUGCUUGCAGCGUCACACGUGAUGAGAUCCUACCCAUGAUUUUUUGACCCACAACAAAGGGCAUGCACAGUAAUCACCACUAUGACUAGUCGAUAGAACUUCAUACAAAUUCCAUUUGCGAAAAAUAUACCCUAAGACACCCAUAACCAAGGUCAUGCACAUUUUGCUUAACAAAAGAAUUGCCUGAACUGAUAAUUGCAUCAGCUGCUUGCUUAUGGGCAUUGUUACAUUGCUUACCUUGCUAUUAAUAUUAAGCUAAAGAAUUUC
rnacentral:misc_RNA from 1 species